GACCGCACCGAAGACCGACACGUCUUCUCCUCCGUCCAGCACUGCCGUCCGGCAAGGAAGAACACAUGCAUCACCACCAUCAAACUCGCCUCUCAUUUCUCUUCAUUUCUAUGUCCUUAGAUUGCCUCUGCUCUUUGUUUCUUCCCCAAAUCGGAAUUGAAACAGUGAGAUGAGAUAUAGCAAUCCGACGCUUCCGGCGAGCUUCUCCAGCCAUGAUCGCUUUCUCCUUCCGGCGAUUCCAAGAGCAUCGGCGACCUAUAUACAUCGAAUUGGUAAGCCCAGUCUUCUUCUUCGUGUUCUGACUUAAUUUCUCCUUUCAAUUCCUCCGAUUAGAGUUUGAUUCCAGACCUCAUUUUCUAUUGUUUUUCUGCCGGCAAAUCCUUUCUCAACGUUGUGGCAAAUUCGACAAGAUCCGAGGGAGACUUUGAAGUAAUCAAAACCGUCCAAGGGACAGUGGCAAUGAAGAAAGAGGACUGCAGCAGCUCAGAUUGGAGUCAAGAAUAAAGUAACAGCCUCGGCUCUGCUAUUUCAGUUCGUUGAGGUAGCAAGCUUUCUCCUUUCAAUUUCUGGUUUGCGAUUUGGUGUUUCUGUUGUUGGAGAAGCUGAUUUUGUAAUGCAUGUCGAGUUAGAAGAGAUCAUAGAUGGUUUUGGAGGCCGGAGUAGUGAUCGGAGGAAUAAGGGUGAAAAGUUGGUUUUUACUGUUUUACUUUUACCAUGUUAUUGGUUUACUGUGAUGUGAAAGGACCAAAAUGCCCCUGGCAUAAAGUUACUGUUUUACUAUUACUUUUACUGUUUUACGGUUUUAUCCUAAGUUGCCUUUUACCAUUUACUAAA